rnacentral:rRNA from 1 species
AUUGAACGCUGGCGGCAGGCCUAACACAUGCAAGUCGAGCGGAUGAAGGGAGCUUGCUCCUGGAUUCAGCGGCGGACGGGUGAGUAAUGCCUAGGAAUCUGCCUGGCAGUGGGGGAUGACGUCCGGAGACGAGCGCUAAUACCGCAUAAGACCAGAUGGAGAAAGAGGGGGAUCUUCGGACCGCACGGUAUCAGGUGAGCCUAGGUGGGAUUAGCUAGCUGGUUGGGUAAAGGCCUACCAAGGCGACGAUCCGUAACUAGUCUGAGAGGGUGAUCAGUCACACUGGAACUGAGACACGGUCCAGACUCCUACGGGAGGCAGCAGUGGGGAAUAUUGGGCAAUGGGCGAAAGCCUGAUCCAGCCAGGCCGCGUGUGUGAAGAAGGUCUUCGGAUUGUAAAGCACUUUAAGUUGGGAGGAAGGGCAGUAAGUUAAUACGUUGCUGUUUUGACGGUACCAACAGAAUAAGCACCGGCUAACUACGUG